rnacentral:tRNA from 1 species
GGCCUAUUAGCUCAGCUGGUUAGAGUGUCGUGCUAAUAACGCAAAGGUCGCAGGUUCGAGACCUGCAUGGGCCA